rnacentral:rRNA from 1 species
UAUUGCACAAUGGGGGAAACCCUGAUGCAGCGACGCCGCGCGAGUGAAGAAGUAUCUCGGUAUGUAACGCUCUAUCAGCAGGGAAGAAGAAAUGACGGUACCUGAGUAAGAAGCCCCGGCUAACUACGUGCCAGCCGCCGCGGUAAUACGUAGGGGGCAAGCGUUAUCCGGAAUUACUGGGUGUAAAGGGAGCGUAGACGGCAGCACAAGUCUGGAGUGAAAUGCCGGGGCUUAACCCCGGAACUGCUUUGGAAACUGUGCAGCUAGAGUGCAGGAGAGGUAAGUGGAAUUCCUAGUGUAGCGGUGAAAUGCAUAGAUAUUAGGAGGAACACCAGUGGCGAAGGCGGCUUACUGGACCGUAACUGACGUUGAGGCUCGAAAGCGUGGGUAGCGAACAGG